rnacentral:sRNA from 1 species
GGAGAGGGGUGGGUACUGGAGAAGACCAGCCCCUUCGCCAAACAGCCUUACAAAGACAUCCAGCUCUAAGGAGCUCAAAACAUCCUGAGGACAGUGCCUGGAG